AUACGGAGGAUGCGAGCGUUAUCCGGAUUUAUUGGGUUUAAAGGAAGCGUAGGUGGGAUAUUAAGUCAGCUGUGAAAGUUUGGGGCUCAACCUUAAAAUUGCAGUUGAUACUGGUUUCCUUGAGUACGGUACAGGUGGGCGGAAUUCGUGGUGUAGCGGUGAAAUGCUUAGAUAUCACGAAGAACUCCGAUCGCGAAGGCAGCUCACCGGGCCGGAACUGACACUGAUGCUCGAAAGUGCGGGUAUCAAACAGGAUUAGAUACCCUGGUAGUCCGCACAGUAAACGAUGAAUACUCGCUGUUUGCGAUACACGGUAAGCGGCCAAGCGAAAGCGUUAAGUAUUCCACCUGGGGAGUACGCCGGCAACGGUGAAACUCAAAUGAAUUGGCGGGG
rnacentral:rRNA from 1 species